UGAAAUAUUUUAAUUUGAAUAUAGUAGUUCCCUAAAAAUACAAUUCUACAAAAACUUUGCAAUUUUAUUUGUUACAAUUUUAAUAAAAUUAACAUGGAACCAGUUAAGAAGGAGACAUAUAUAGUAGCAAAGUGCUUCUGGAACUGUUUGAAUGUGACCAAAUGUGGUUCUAGUUGACUAGUGUUCACUUUGGUUUAUAUCCGCUCUUCAGAUAAAUCCACCAUGAGACUGCAAGAAACUGUAAAUGGUCUCUCAACCUUACUUUCUGAUUACACACUAUCUCCUGCUAGGGGAAAAAAUAAUAAUAGUGAAGAACUGACAAACUUGAAAAAAGAAAACAAAAAUUGAAUGCCUAUAAUGCCAUAGUGCCACUUUGGUAGAGUCUUAACUUUAAAACAUGAAUUGCCUGGCAGAAACCUGUUUAGUAGGUAUUUCUUUGUAUUGCCUUUGUGAGUUUAUUAUGAAAAUGCUGUAGUCACAUUGAAUGAAAAAGACCCAAAUUAUUGUUUAUAAAAAAAUAAAGCCAGCAUUGGCACUUAAUCUUGUUUCUCAUGUCCAGCCAGAAAAAAACUUCAGUGAAGGUAAGAUAAGUAAAUAUAUAUACAUACAUAUGGUGGUUUUUUAAUUUGUUUUGUUUUGUUUUGGUAGGUAAUAGCUAAUUACAUGUAUGUGAUGCUUUAUUAAAGCUCUAAAAUAUUUGUCAACUAAGAUUUUCUUUUUGGAAAUCCAUCGAUAUUCAGAUAUGUUUAAAUGUUAACAUGAUUAAAAACUAAUACAAAGAAAUGGAAAUUCGUUUUCAUCACCAUGUAGAGCUGCUAUUUUACUACUUGGAGAAUGUGAAGCGACAAUUCGACCCUGGAGGAUUUCUUGGUGUUUUCAGCACUUGUCUUUUAGAGAAAAUUAAAAGCAUCCAGUAUUAGUGGAGAAAAAUAAUUGUAAAGUGUCAUCACCAGUGAGUUUUGAGAUCACUAGUAUUGUGACCUUAGGGAAGGAGAGAUAUUGAUGGUAUCAAGAACAAUAUUUUUUUCAUGUGUCUGGUCUCUGAUUAAAGUGAUACGCACAAACAGAAGAUAUAAAGAUAUAAGCUUUCAGGGCACAUUGCUUUAAAUGCAUACUACUACUUGCUGCCAGAACCAGAUGUGUUGAAAAAGGAAAUAAAAACCACCUCCUUUCUGUAGCCAUUAAAGCAAAGUUUACUUUCUGUUUUAACAAGUUUUUAUUUUAUUAUUCAUUGCCACACAUCUGCUUAUUUAAAAAACUACAACCCUUUGGUAUUAAUGGUUCAGUACAAGUAGGUAUUUCAGCUUAAUGUUUGUGUGUUCUAAUUCUAAGUGUUCUUUUAUUCCAGGUCUUAUAGAGCAGUUAAGGCAACUUAAUGGCAUUUUUGAAGUAUAUUGUAAAAUAAUAAAAGGUAACAUAAUUAAAACUGAUGAAUAUUGCAUUCUUGUGGUAUAUGCAUUAUUGA
rnacentral:lncRNA from 1 species